CACAUCCCAACAAGCUUCUGCUGGACCACGGCACAGGGUGAGAUAAGGAUUCAUCAAGGAGAUCUCAGGAGGAUUCAGAUUUGCAGAGACAGGAAAAGUGUGAUUAUCAAGAGGGGAAGCAUUUUAGGGAAAAAAUCAUCAAAUUAUGGUCGUCCACGUGUGCAUAAGAUUUAUAUACAUCUUGUUGUUUCAUUAGUUUGUAUUAAAAAAUAUUCUCCAGCAGCUUUGUGAACAGAGAGACAAGAGGAGCAGAAAGUUUAUCACAAGGACCUGUCCUGAUUUACAAUGGAUUAAUUGAGUAUUGGAACAAAGAUAUGGUUGAUUCAUAAUAUAAACCACAGACACCUUUUCUUUUAGCAGACUGUCCUCUUUCCCAAGUUGUAAAAAGACUUUAUGAAUUGCACAACAAACUAACAGUAUAAGAAUUUGGAAUAACGUAAGGGUGGAUACGGCUCUAUGGACAGAGCAGCAUGAGUGCAAAGCAGGUGCAUUUUACUCACAGACCGGUCUUGAGCUCAUAAACAUGCACCUCUGAUCACUGCAGCGCUGCGAGUACAAGUGAGAAGCAAGGCACGAGAUGUGGAAACCAUUUGAAUUCAGCACAGAAUUAUACAUAUCCACCCUUGAAUUUACUAUAGUAACACUAACUGUACUUUAGGCAGAAAUAGGUUCAUAAUACAUAUUAUCAUAUCACUAUUUCAGCUCUAGAAAAUUUGUCAUAGGCUACAUUAGGGGAGUGAGGGAAUAAAAUAAAUUUGUUACAACUUUUAAAUGUUUAUAUUUUGUAUUCAUUGUUUUUACAUGUGUUUAGAGUAGGCCUACUGUUUGUAAUUACAAAAAUGCCAAAAUUUGUUUUAUAGAAAUCAUGU